GUCAUUUAUUUGAAGGGGGCAAAUGCUCCCACUGCAAGACGGACCCGGCUUGUUUUUAGGUAGUAGGUGAGGUGAAGGCUCACCUUCCCGCCGAUUCAUAACCGACCUGGGAGGGGUGAUCGGCCACACUGGGAUUGAGACACGGCCCAGACUCCUACGGGAGGCAGCAGUAGGGAAUUUUUGGCAAUGGGGGCAACCCUGACCGAGCAACGCCGCGUGAGUGAAGAAGGUUUUCGGAUCGUAAAGCUCUGUUGUAAGUCAAGAACGAGUGUGAGAGUGGAAAGUUCACACUGUGACGGUAGCUUACCAGAAAGGGACGGCUAACUACGUGCCAGCAGCCGCGGUAAUACGUAGGUCCCGAGCGUUGUCCGGAUUUAUUGGGCGUAAAGCGAGCGCAGGCGGUUUGAUAAGUCUGAAGUUAAAGGCUGUGGCUCAACCAUAGUUCGCUUUGGAAACUGUCAAACUUGAGUGCAGAAGGGGAGAGUGGAAUUCCAUGUGUAGCGGUGAAAUGCGUAGAUAUAUGGAGGAACACCGGUGGAGAAAGCGGCUCUAAGGUCCGUAACUGACGGUGAGGCUUGAAAGCGUGGGGAGCGAACAGG
rnacentral:rRNA from 1 species